UGGCGGCGUGCCUAACACAUGCAAGUCGAACGAGAAAGUGGAGCAAUCCAUGAGUACAGUGGCGUACGGGUGAGUAACACGUGACUAACCUACCCUCGAGUGGGGAAUAACUUCGGGAAACCGAGGCUAAUACCGCAUAAUGCCUGACCAAAUGCGCAAGCAGCUUGAGGAGGGGGUCGCGGCUGAUUAGCUUGUUGGCGGGGUAACGGCCCACCAAGGCAAUGAUCAGUAGCCGGCCUGAGAGGGCGCACGGCCACACUGGAACUGAAACACGGUCCAGACUCCUACGGGAGGCAGCAGUGGGGAAUUUUGCGCAAUGGGGGAAACCCUGACGCAGCAACGCCGCGUGGAGGAUGAAGCCCCUUGGGGUGUAAACUCCUUUCGAUCGGGACGAUUAUGACGGUACCGGAUGAAGAAGCACCGGCUAACUCUGUGCCAGCAGCCGCGGUAAUACAGAGGGUGCAAGCGUUGUUCGGAAUUAUUGGGCGUAAAGGGUGCGUAGGCGGUGCGGUAAGUCUUCUGUGAAACCUCCGGGCUUAACUCGGAGCCUGCAGGGGAAACUGCCGUGCUGGAGUAUGGGAGAAGUGUAAUUGAAUUCCCGGUGUACCGUGAAAUGCGUAAAUAUCGGGAGGAACACCUGUGGCGAAAGCGGCUCACUGGACCAUUACUGACGCUGAUGCACGAAAAGCUAGGGGAGCAAACAGGAUUAGAUACCCUGGUAGUCCUAGCCCUAAACUAUGAUCGCUUGGUGUGACAGGUACCCAAUCCUGUCGUGGCCGAACUAACGCGUU
rnacentral:rRNA from 1 species